GCCCGAUGAACCUGAAUAUCCGUUAUGGAAAAUUCAUCAUUAGAAUUGUAAUAUUUAAUCAAUAUUAUAAUAAUAGUGUGCAUUUUUUCCAUAUAAGGACAUUGUAAUCUAUUAGUUAAAAUUAAUUUAUCAAAAAAUUGUAGAUAAGUGCUUAUUUAAAUUAAAAUGCUUGCGUUUUAACAUAAAAUAAAUUUCAUAAAUUUGAUAAAGUGCUGAUAGAUUUAUAUGAGUACAGUGCGUUAAUUUUUCGGAAUUAUAUAAUGGCAUAAUUAUCAUUGAUUUUUGUGUUUAUUAUAUGCACUUGUAUGAUUAACAAUGCGAAAGAUUCAGGAUACUUCGGG
rnacentral:rRNA from 1 species